rnacentral:rRNA from 1 species
UACGUAGGGUGCGAGCGUUAAUCGGAAUUACUGGGCGUAAAGCGUGCGCAGGCGGUUGUGCAAGACAGAGGUGAAAUCCCCGGGCUUAACCUGGGAAUGGCCUUUGUGACUGCACGGCUAGAGUGUGUCAGAGGGGGGUAGAAUUCCACGUGUAGCAGUGAAAUGCGUAGAGAUGUGGAGGAAUACCGAUGGCGAAGGCAGCCCCCUGGGAUAACACUGACGCUCAUGCACGAAAGCGUGGGGAGCGAACAGG